GCUCAGUCACACACAAAUGAAAGGAAUUUCCAGUUAAGCACUGCUUCGGGCUUUGUGUUGGCAUCGCGGUUUUCUUAACGACAGUUUUGUUCAGAGUGCCUCUGUGGAUUUAUCUUGUAAUCUAAACGAUCCUGCACCAGCGCCCCCCUUCAGUGGAGGAUUGGCUCUGAUACUAAACUCCUCCAGAACAGCACACUGGAGAAGGAGCUGAAGCAAUUGUAAUAAAGUCAGGAGCUGUUCUGGGAUUUAUUUGCGCCCAUGGUCUCAGAAGUGGGGAAGGAACUGACCCUGGAGAGCUGGAAGUGCGAUCCAGACAGAUGGGCACCAGACAAACCCAUGACCCUAUUUAGAGGAAGGUGACCUCUAAACUGAGCUCAGUUUAGGUUAGAGGUCAAACCCUGAAAUGGUUCAGCUCACCUCUUUCAGCUUUUGAUGGCUGACAGCAUCCUUCAGGCUCGGAGCCAAUGACCUCUCCAAGGACAAACGGAGGAGAUGAGCUGUGCUGUGCGACCGUGACCCAGCGGAUAUACCGAUGCGUAAGGAGUGUGCGGGGCAGUGGUAGCUCAGUGGAGGAGGUACUUGACUU